rnacentral:misc_RNA from 1 species
GAUGAAGAACGUAGCGAAAUGCGAUAAUUAAUGUGAAUUGCAGAAUUCCGUGAAUCAUCGAGUCUUUGAACGCACAUUGCGCCUCAUGGCAUUCCGUGAGGCAUGCCCAUCUCAGCGUUAGAAAAUAUUCUCAAAUUUUAGUUUUGUGCUAAAAUUUGGAUCAUGUCAAGGAAGCUAUUACUAUUAUUGUGAUCGCUCUUUGGAAAUUGAUAGGUCUUUGAGUUGCUACUCAUAGAACGUGAUGAAUCUUUCUUCGUUCUAUUGUAAUUCACUCUGGUAGUCCUAAGACUUGUAUGCCUGUGGCAUAUCUUGUAAUUUGACCUGAGAUUGGGUAGGGAUACCCGCUGAACUUAAGCAUAUCAAUAAGCGGAGGA